UAAGGGAUGUUGGUCAAUGGGCGUAAGCCUGAACCAGCAACGCCGCGUGCAGGAUGACGGCCUUCGGGUUGUAAACUGCUUUUGUCGGGGACGAGAGAGAACGGUACCCGGCGAAUAAGUCACGGCUAACUACGUGCCAGCAGCCGCGGUAACACAGAGGGUGCAAGCGUUGUUCGGAAUCACUGGGCGUAAAGGGCGCGUAGGCGGCCCGGUAAGUAGGGGGUGAAAUCUCAUGGCUCAACUGUGAGGCUGCCUUCUAGACUGCCAGGCUUGAGCACAGUAGAGGCGAGUGGAAUUCCCGGUGUAGCGGUGGAAUGCGUAGAGAUCGGGAAGAACAUCGGUGGCGAAGGCGGCUCGCUGGGCUGUUGCUGACGCUGAGGCGCGAAAGCGUGGGGAGCAAACAGGAUUAGAUACCCACGUAGUCCCUGAGCGGGCUGGCAAGGCGCAU
rnacentral:rRNA from 1 species